rnacentral:sRNA from 1 species
UACAUGGUUUGUGUACGCUUUAUCUUUGUUUGCCGCUUGAGCAAUGCUUGUUGUUCAUCAAGCCACUGGGCAUCAUCUCUUUCAGCAUAUUUGUCCUUCAGGCUCUUUAAAUUCUUCUGCAUCUAGGUUAUUUCCAACACGAUAUCAAAUAACGACAUCACCCGCCCCGCUCGACGCCAUGUGUAUAUAAAAUCUGUCACUCUGAACAGCCGCUACAGCCUAGGUCCCUGACAAAAAAAGAUUUCCUAGCUGCCGGAAAAUGGAAGAUUUCUUGCAACAAAAACUCCAAGCAUACUCAGAACAUUCUGCUUCGGACUUUGGAGCCUUGGGGAAAAUGCUGUGAGGGAGGCAUUAUGCUUCAAACUCUUGAGAAAGUUGUUCAUGAUCCGUUCGAUGUCCUCCUUACAGGAUCAUCUUACGAAAGAGCACCUUACUGACAUUAUACACUAGGCGGAUUGCAUUAUUCUCGCUUUUUAAACAGAUCAGCAGUGGCGAGAACCUAAAAGAAAGAUUGAAUACAUGCCGGGGUCCAGCAUUUAAUGCGUAUUAAUUAUUAUCGAUUAACGCUUUACGU